rnacentral:misc_RNA from 1 species
AGUUGGAGCACCAAAAUUUACUCUAGCUGCUAAUUUUAAGAAGAAACUAUCCUCAUAAUCUGUUGCAUACAUAGAAAGGUUCAGAGGCCGAAGCUCGACAGUGGAAAUGAAGGGAGAACCAGUUGUAGCACAGCAGAUGCACACAUCAAUAGAACUCGAGGGAGCCCUGAUGAUCAUUUCCUCAACAUAAAUUCUUGAAGCAUCCAAAAUUGUCACAGUAGACCACUUAGUUGCAUCCAAAUAGAGUUCAAAUUUG